UGGGGAAUAUUGGACAAUGGGGGCAACCCUGAUCCAGCAAUGCCGCGUGUGUGAAGAAGGUCUUCGGAUUGUAAAGCACUUUCGACGGGGACGAUGAUGACGGUACCCGUAGAAGAAGCCCCCGGCUAACUUCGUGCCAGCAGCCGCGGUAAUACGAAGGGGGCUAGCGUUGCUCGGAAUGACUGGGCGUAAAGGGCGUGUAGGCGGUUUACACAGUCAGAUGUGAAAUCCCCGGGCUUAACCUGGGAGCUGCAUUUGAUACGUGUAGACUAGAGUGUGAGAGAGGGUUGUGGAAUUCCCAGUGUAGAGGUGAAAUUCGUAGAUAUUGGGAAGAACACCGGUGGCGAAGGCGGCAACCUGGCUCAUGACUGACGCUGAGGCGCGAAAAGCGUGGGGAGCAAAACAGGAUUAGAUACCCUGGUAGUCCACGCUGUAAAACGAUGUGUGCUAGAUGUUGGGUAACUUUG
rnacentral:rRNA from 1 species